GGUGGAUAUAGCUCAGUGGUAGAGCGCAUGCUUAGCAAGCAUGAGGUCCUGGGUUCAAUCCCCAGUACCUCCA
rnacentral:tRNA from 1 species